UUAAAGGGUGUUCUAGGCCACGUGCAGC
rnacentral:piRNA from 1 species